GACAACUUCAGUCUGGUUCUCUUGGGUUGCUUGCUAUUGACCCCAGCUGCCAUGCUGUGAGGGAGCCCAGGUGACUGGGAGACACCACAGUCCUCACUAAGGCUCUAACCAACAGCCAGCAUCAGCUGUCAGACGUGUGACUGAGAAAUCUUUGAGAUAGCUCCAGCCUCAGCCAGUGUCCAACUGCAACAGCACAAGGGACUCUGAGCAAGAAUCACCUUCCGGAGCCUAGUUUACCCCAGAACUGUUAAGAGAAUAAUGGCCUGCAGACAAGUUGGAGUGGCUCUGCUCCAACUGUAUCUGAUUCUCCUCCCAGCAGCAGCGGGUGAGCCAAGGCAUGUUCCAGUGGCCAUGGCAGAAGCACAAGAGGGCGAGUGAAAAUGCUCUUAAAUCCCAGGUGGGGGCCCACUUAUGCUCCAUCCUGUUGACCAGUGCCAUUCAAUGGCCAAGGCCAAGGUUAAGGGAGAUGGAAAUCUAUCCAUCCCAUUGGCAGAGGUGUGGCUGCAGGAAGAGGUGAAGAAUUGGGACUAAUUUUCAAUAUACCACAGGAGGAGCUGAGGAAGAAGUAUGUCUACUUAAGAGGCCCCCAUAGACAUCCAGCCUCCUGGGCUCUGUCUCCAGCAUGAACCAGCCUGGUGGCUGUGACCUGGCCAGAGAAGCUCAACACUCAGCGUUCCACCCCAAGCCCGGUGAAAGUAUCACGAAUUUGUUGAGCAAUCGAAGCCCAAGCUCCCAUCAUCCCAACAGCUGCAGUGAAUCUAUCUGUGACUUCUCUGGAUACCCAUUAAAAAACAGCUCUCAGUAA